CAAACUAUGGCAGCACCACAGAAAGGGUGUCCUUGUUGGAGCAUUUGCACAUAAAGCCAUUCAACACAAAGGUCAUCUUGGUCAGGAACUUGAACUGGAAAACGUAGGAGCAAUAAAGUAGCUUUUAGCAGAAAAUAAAUCUAGAAAGGCCCGCUCAAGGAAACCCUGAAAUACUUUAUGUCAGGAAUAUUGGAAGAAGCUAAGAAGACCAAGUUUGUGUUGCAGUAUUUACCAUCCCUCAGCAGAGAAACACAAGGUGAAGAAAAAGAGAGAGACAGCACAAACCAGAAGGAGAG